rnacentral:rRNA from 1 species
UACGAAGGGGGCUAGCGUUGCUCGGAAUCACUGGGCGUAAAGGGUGCGUAGGCGGGUCUUUAAGUCAGGGGUGAAAUCCUGGAGCUCAACUCCAGAACUGCCUUUGAUACUGAAGAUCUUGAGUUCGGGAGAGGUGAGUGGAACUGCGAGUGUAGAGGUGAAAUUCGUAGAUAUUCGCAAGAACACCAGUGGCGAAGGCGGCUCACUGGCCCGAUACUGACGCUGAGGCACGAAAGCGUGGGG